CGCAAGCGUUAUCCGGAGUUACUGGGCGUAAAGCGCGGGCAGGCGGCUCGAAACGUCUGAUGUGAAAUCUCCUCGCUCAACGGGGAGAGGCCAUUGGAAACGGUCGGGCUGGAGGGCAGUAGAGGUAGGCGGAAUUCCGGGUGGAGUGGUGAAAUGCGUAGAGAUCCGGAGGAACACCAGAGGCGAAGGCGGCCUACUGGGCUGCACCUGACGCUGAGCCGCGAAAGCCAGGGGAGCGAACGGG
rnacentral:rRNA from 1 species